rnacentral:rRNA from 1 species
AGCGAACGCUGGCGGCAGGCCUAACACAUGCAAGUCGAACGGACCUUUCGGGGUUAGUGGCGGACGGGUGAGUAACACGUGGGAACGUGCCUUUAGGUUCGGAAUAGCUCCUGGAAACGGGUGGUAAUGCCGAAUGUGCCCUUCGGGGGAAAGAUUUAUCGCCUUUAGAGCGGCCCGCGUCUGAUUAGCUAGUUGGUUGAGGUAACGGCUCACCAAGGCGACGAUCAGUAGCUGGUCUGAGAGGAUGGCCAGCCACAUUGGGACUGAGACACGGCCCAAACUCCUACGGGAGGCAGCAGUGGGGAAUCUUGCGCAAUGGGCGAAAGCCUGACGCAGCCAUGCCGCGUGAAUGAUGAAGGUCUUAGGAUUGUAAAAUUCUUUCACCGGGGACGAUAAUGACGGUACCCGGAGAAGAAGCCCCGGCUAACUUCGU